rnacentral:rRNA from 1 species
CAAGUCGAACGGGAUUUUUUUCUGUAGCAAUACAGGAAAAAGUCUAGUGGCGAACGGGUGCGUAACACGUGAGCAACCUGCCGUGAAGUGGGGGAUAGCUCGCCGAAAGGCGAAUUAAUACCGCAUGUGGCCAAGGAAGACAUCUUCCUGACGCCAAAGCCGGGGCAACCUGGCGCUUCUCGAGGGGCUCGCGGCCUAUCAGCUUGUUGGUGAGGUAACGGCUCACCAAGGCUAUGACGGGUAGCUGGUCUGAGAGGACGACCAGCCACACUGGAACUGAGACACGGUCCAGACACCUACGGGUGGCAGCAGUCGAGAAUUUUUCACAAUGGGGGAAACCCUGAUGGAGCGACGCCGCGUGGAGGAUGAAGGUUUUCGGAUUGUAAACUCCUGUCAUUAGAGAACAAGGCACACGGUUUAACUGAUCGUGUGUUGAUAGUAUCUGAAGAGGAAGAGACGGCUAACUCUGUGCCAGCAGCCGCGGUAAUACAGAGGUCUCAAGCGUUGUUCGGAUUCAUUGGGCGUAAAGGGUGCGUAGGUGGCGAUGUAAGUCGGAUGUGAAAUCUCCAAGCUUAACUUGGAAACUGCAUUCGAUACUGCGUUGCUAGAGGACUGUAGAGGGCAUUGGAAUUCACGGUGUAGCAGUGAAAUGCGUAGAUAUCGUGAGGAAGACCAGUGGCGAAGGCGAAUGCCUGGGCAGUUCCUGACACUGAGGCACGAAAGCCGGGGGAGCAAACGGGAUUAGAUACCCCGGUAGUCCUGGCAGUAAACGGUGCACGUUUGGUGUGGGAGGAUUCGACCCCUUCCGUGCCGGAGCAAACGCGUUAAACGUGCCGCCUGGGGAGUACGGUCGCAGAUUAAAACUCAAAGAAAUUGACCG